UACGGAGGAUCCAAGCGUUAUCCGGAAUAACUGGGCGUAAAGAGUUGCGUAGGCGGUACAGUAAGCGAAGUGUGAAAUCGUGUGGCUCAACCAUGCGGCUAUGCUUUGAGCUGCUGAACUAGAGAAUGAGAGAGGUCACUGGAAUUCCAAGUGUAGGAGUGAAAUCCGUAGAUAUUUGGAGGAACACCGAUAGCGUAGGCAGGUGACUGGCUCAUUUCUGACGCUCAGGCACGAAAGCGUGGGGAGCAAACGGG
rnacentral:rRNA from 1 species